rnacentral:rRNA from 1 species
UGAGGAAUAUUGGUCAAUGGGCGAGAGUCUGAACCAGCCAAGUAGCGUGAGGGAUGACUGCCCUAUGGGUUGUAAACCUCUUUUGAUUGGGAACAAAGAGCGCCACGUGUGGUGCGUUGCGUGUACCUUUCGAAUAAGCAUCGGCUAAUUCCGUGCCAGCAGCCGCGGUAAUACGGAAGAUGCGAGCGUUAUCCGGAUUUAUUGGGUUUAAAGGGAGCGCAGGCUGCGAGGCAAGUCAGCGGUCAAAUGUCGGGGCUCAACCCCGGCCUGCCGUUGAAACUGUCCUGCUAGAGUUCGAGUGAGGUAUGCGGAAUGCGUUGUGUAGCGGUGAAAUGCAUAGAUAUGACGCAGAACUCCGAUUGCGAAGGCAGCAUACCAACUCGCGACUGACGCUGAGGCUCGAAAGCGUGGGGUAUCGAACAGGGAUUAGAUACCCUGGGUAGU